UUCUCCUUUAUUCCCUUCAUUUUUUAAUGUAUCUAUCUAUCAUUUUCUUCGAAAAGAAUUAUCAACAUUAACCAUAAGCAAUUGCUAUUAACAUAUACUCAUUACACCAUAAGCUGUAUUCAAACGUUAAUAUAUUCUCGUUUAAAGGUGAGGCAAACGAAGCAAGGACAUGACUGCAAGGAAUCAGAAUCGAAGCUUGGAGCCUCUCAUAUCAAGGCCCGAGCAAACCACUUGCCCUCGGAGCCAUCGAGAACAUGCCCGUUGGAUCCGGUUCGAGUUCCAAGACCUUAGAGAGCAUUACCGAAUGACCGCCCAUGAUUAACAAAGGGCCAUGACAUCCGCGUCCAACCGGAUAUCACGCCGUGAAUCUCGGCCCGUAUCGACAUCAGAUCCGUGAUUAGUAAAAAGGAAGAUUUUUACCUUUCUUAGGAUUGUACUUAGGGUAAAAUUUCCCUACUACAUAAAGGGGGAGCUGAUUAUUCAAUAAGGACAUUGUAACUGGCAUAUCAAGGUAAUAUACAUUUGUUUUCUCUGCUUCUAGAGGU